GGGUCAGUAGGUUGGUCGUGCCACCGGUACGUACUGGUCUCACUGAUUCCUCCUUCCUGAAGAACCGUAAUGCCAUUAAUUUGGUGUUGCGGGGAAACAGGACUGUUACUUUGAAAAAAUUAGAGUGUUUAAAGCAAGCUAACGCUUGAAUAUAUUAGCAUGGAAUAAUGAAAUAGGACGAUCGAUCCUAUUUUGUCGGUUUCUAGGAUUGACGUA
rnacentral:rRNA from 1 species